rnacentral:rRNA from 1 species
AACGAACGCUGGCGGCGUGGAUAAGACAUGCAAGUCGAACGGGAUUAGUUUUGUAGCAAUACGAAGCUGGUCUAGUGGCGCACGGGUGCGUAACACGUGAGUAAUCUGCCGAGAAGUGGGGGAUAGCUCGCCGAAAGGCGAAUUAAUACCGCAUGUGACUACCUCUUGAUUAAGGGGGAUGUUAAAGUAGCAAUACGCUGUUUGAUGAACUCGCGGGCUAUCAGCUAGAUGGCGGGGUAACGGCCCACCAUGGCUAUGCCGGGGAGCUGGUCUGAGAGGACGACCAUCCACACUGGAACUGAGACACGGUCCAGACACCUACGGGUGGAAGCAGUCGAGAAUUUUUCACAAUGGGGGAAACCCUGAUGGAGCGACGCCGCGUGGAGGAUGAAGGCCUUCGGGUCGUAAACUCCUGUCAUGCGGGAACAAGAAAGUGAUAGUACCGCAAGAGGAAGAGACGGCUAACUCUGUGCCAGCAGCCGCAGUAAAAC